CAAGGACCCGGUGAAAGCCCGGGUGGCUCUUCUGGCCGCCUAUCCGCCAGACAACG
rnacentral:ncRNA from 21 species